rnacentral:rRNA from 1 species
UACGGAGGGUGCAAGCGUUAUCCGGAUUCACUGGGUUUAAAGGGUGCGUAGGUGGGCAGAUAAGUCAGUGGUGAAAUCUCCGGGCUUAACCCGGAAACUGCCGUUGAUACUAUUUGUCUUGAAUAUUGUGGAGGUAAGCGGAACAUGUCAUGUAGCGGUGAAAUGCUUAGAUAUGACAUAGAACACCAAUUGCGAAGGCAGCUUACUACACAAUCAUUGACUCUGAGGCACGAAAGCGUGGGGAUCAAACAGG